rnacentral:rRNA from 1 species
GCAAGUCGAACGGUAAAAUUGGAGCUUGCUCCAGAUGACGAGUAACGGACGGGUGAGUAACGCGUGGGAAUCUACCUAGUAGUGGGGGAUAGCCAGAAGAAAUUCUGAAUAAUACCGCAUACGCCCUAUGGGGGAAAGAGGCCCUCUUCUUGAAAGGUCUCACUAUUAGAUGAGCCCGCGUUAGAUUAGCUAGAUGGUGAGGAAGAGCUCACCAUGGCGACGAUCUAUAGCUGGUCUGAGAGGAUGAUC